GCUCAUUCCGAACAUAUACUAAAAUUAGAACAAUACAGAGAAGACCAGCAUGACCUCUGCGCAAGGAUGACAUGCAAGGAAAUACCAGAUUAAA
rfam:Oesophagostomum dentatum strain OD-Hann O_dentatum-1.0_Cont586.13, whole genome shotgun sequence.